UGCACCAAUGGCGACGCCGAUCAACGUCGCCCCCCCUCGCGCACGUUAGCACAGCCUCCUUCAUCGCCCCGCCUCCCUUCGCCGGCGCGCGGCGGCGCCGGAAUCGACGCCGAAGAAGGCGCGCGCCGUCGUUCCCGGCGCAACGGCUGGAGACCAGGCGAUCGUUCUCAUUCUCCCCCUGCUCGCUCCCCGGAUCGUCAUCGCCGGUCGUCCGCCCUCGCCGUCUCCCGGCUCCACACGAUUUCGCUCCGAAGUUCGUCGAUCGUGUCUGUCGAGCUCAGUGAUCCGGCAUUACGUGGAAUUUGGCGCUGCGGAUGGCUUAAAGCUUUUUCCAGGUGAUCCGUGGCCGGUUCGGUUUUCACGGUACCGGAGCCGAAUGCGGAAGCCUUUUGGCGGGCCAAGGAGAGUCCUUUACGCGGAGCCAAUGAUUGAUUGCAUUGUCGCUGUCAAGAUAGCCUUUUUGAAGUGUUCGUCGGAUUCACUUUGCGUUCGUUAUGUUGCGGAUGAUGAUUUCCACUUUAGUUUCUUUUUUGGCCUAACCAAAGGAAGGUGGGGGGAAAAGGGGGAUGGGCGGAAGAGUGGAUUUUUUCUUAGGUGGUGAUUGAUGAUACAAUUGAAUUUAGUAGCGUGGGUCGAGACCCUUUCUUCCGGGCUAAGUUUCGACAGGCGGUUUCUUGCACAUGUUACUCGUUCUGCCCUCUUGUUGUAAUGUGAUGUGAGCUGUGUUGUGGGAAUCCAGAGCAUAUCUUUUGUUCGAUGCGAUCGUUUGUGUCGGUGGUGAUUGUACCGUGAAGUUGUCUUCGCACUAGAAAUCGAAGUAAAGUUGCAUUCUUGACGGUCAAUUCCAGUUUCAUUUUCCUUUUGUUGAAUGCAGAUGGCAUUGCAGGCAGCUUCUUUGGAUAAAAAUAUGUGAAGAAUUCGGAUGGUGAACUCUCGAGGGGUUGUUCUUUGUUGCCUUGUUAUUGCGGUGCUAGAGUUUGAUACUGAGCUUUCUUAACACGCAAUGAUUAGAAAAAGGCUUGACCCACUAGGGAGAUCUCAUGUGCCAGCUGUAAUGUUAAAGUCAGCUGCAGAUUAAGGAUUAGCUAAUCUCUCCUUCUCCUUUGCAUUAAGUUUUCCUUUUUUUAUCAGUAGGUGAGAGCAUUCCUAAUUACGCACAUCACCCAUAAUGUACUUUUUCAUGUUAUUCAGCUGCCUAAUGGAACUGGGCUUCUUUCGUCAAAUUAGGUAGAUUGGCCCUCACUUAGCAAUGCCAAUAUUGCAUAGAAAACUCCAGAAGGUGAGAAGCCUGAGUUUGCAACGUGUCGAACACUUUUAUGCUCUGGCCCGGCAGGACCUCUUUGCGUUAACAUAAGAGUCAACUAUAGGUGGCACGAUAUGCUUCAGACAGUGGAAAAGGUAAAGAUGCUCUCAACACUGUUGGUCAAUGUCUCAGAGCAUUGAAAGAACUUGAUUCCUUGCCUCUCCAUGCAUCAAGAAAUGAACCGGAUGGCUUGGUAAAAUCCAUGAUAGCCAAGACAGGUAUUGCAGUUGAUGCAUCAGAUAGUUCUUCCAUUUACGGUGUCCUCCAAAGUGUUCCCCAAGACGUGUUGGACAGAGGCAAGGCUGCAGCAGAUCCAUAUAGGAUUCCAGAAGACACUAAGCCUGAAAUACGAGACCCUGAAAUCAAGCAGCUGGAAUCACCGUGUUUUCCUUUCCUCAGCACGAUGGGAACCUGCCUCUGAUAUGAUCAAAUUCAACUAGACCUCCAAACUCUUACUCGCCGGAUUAUACAGUUUAGGAAAUGGGGAGUUCCUCGGUUUUAUGGUAUUUCGGCGUACCAUUCUAGAUUCAAAUCAUAUCAAGUCGGAUGAGCGGUUCUUAGUUCG